rnacentral:rRNA from 1 species
AUUGAACGCUGGCGGCAUGCCUUACACAUGCAAGUCGAACGGUAUCAGGUUAAGCUGACGAGUGGCGAACGGGUGAGUAAUGUAUCGGAACGUGCCCAGUCGUGGGGGAUAACUGCUCGAAAGAGCAGCUAAUACCGCAUACGACCUGAGGGUGAAAGCGGGGGAUCGCAAGACCUCGCGCGAUUGGAGCGGCCGAUAUCAGAUUAGGUAGUUGGUGAGGUAAAGGCUCACCAAGCCGACGAUCUGUAGCUGGUCUGAGAGGACGACCAGCCACACUGGGACUGAGACACGGCCCAGACUCCUACGGGAGGCAGCAGUGGGGAAUUUUGGACAAUGGGCGCAAGCCUGAUCCAGCCAUGCCGCGUGCGGGAAGAAGGCCUUCGGGUUGUAAACCGCUUUUGUCAGGGAAGAAAAGGUUCUGGCUAAUACCUGGGACUCAUGACGGUACCUGAAGAAUAAGCACCGGCUAACUACGUG